CGAGGGUGCGCGGUAUUCCGGCCUCCAAAGGGUCGGAGCCGCGUGGGAAAGCGCAUCCUCCGUCGAACAAGUCCACUAGCUCAGUUGGCAGAGCCAUUGACUUUCCAUCAAUCGGUCGCCGGUUCGAGUCCGGCGUGGCGUACCAAAGCGAAAGCCUUUCCCCGGCAGCACUGCGACAGUGUCCUAAGCCCUGGCCCUAACGGGAACCGGGGCAUCCGCGGGUCCGCAAGACCCAAGGGUGUUCACGCGCGAGUAGCGGUAGCGCAGAGACCGGCCGGUCACUGCGCGACGUGAAAGCGGUGGAGAAGCAGCUGCCGUCACGCAUGGCGCCACGGACGGCGCUGGGCAUGGUGGAUACCGUCGAGAGGCGGUGGACAACCGGAAAACCCGACCACACGGGAAUAGCGACCCGGAAAGGCCACCGAGAGCAGGGACGUAGUCUCAGUCC
rnacentral:sRNA from 16 species